rnacentral:rRNA from 1 species
AUACGGAGGGUGCAAGCGUUAUUCGGAAUCACUGGGCGUAAAGGACGCGUAGGCGGGUUGGCAAGUCAGAUGUGAAAUCCUACAGCUUAACUGUAGAACUGCAUUUGAAACUGCUAACCUAGAGUAUGGGAGGGGGAGAUGGAAUUAGUGGUGUAGGGGUAAAAUCCGUAGAUAUCACUAGGAAUACCGAAAGCGAAGGCGAUCUCCUGGAACAUAACUGACGCUAAGGCGUGUAAGCGUGGGGAGCAAACAGGAUUAGAAACCCUAGUAGUCC